GACGAACGCUGGCGGCGUGCUUAACACAUGCAAGUCGAACGGUAAGGCCCUUCGGGGUACACGAGUGGCGAACGGGUGAGUAACACGUGGGUGAUCUGCCCUGCACUUCGGGAUAAGCCUGGGAAACUGGGUCUAAUACCGGAUAGGACCACUGCCUGCAGGGGUGGUGGUGGAAAGCUUUUGCGGUGUGGGAUGGGCCCGGGGCCUAUUAGCUUGGUUGUGGGGUGAGGGCCUACCAAGGCGACGACGGGUAGCCGGCCUGGGGAGGGUGACCGGCCACACUGGGACUGAGAUACGGCCCAGACUCCUACGGGAGGCAGCAGUGGGGAAUAUUGCACAAUGGGCGCAAGCCUGAUGCAGCGACGCCGCGUGAGGGAUGACGGCCUUCGGGUUGUAAACCUCUUUCAGCACCGACGAAGCGCAAGUGACGGUAGGUGCAGAAGAAGGACCGGCCAACUACGUGCCAGCCGCCGCCGUAACAC
rnacentral:rRNA from 1 species